GACGAACGCUGGCGGCGUGCUUAACACAUGCAAGUCGAACGGAAAGGCCCUGCUUUUGUGGGGUGCUCGAGUGGCGAACGGGUGAGUAACACGUGAGUAACCUGCCCUUGACUUUGGGAUAACUUCAGGAAACUGGGGCUAAUACCGGAUAGGAGCUCCUGCUGCAUGGUGGGGGUUGGAAAGUUUCGGCGGUUGGGGAUGGACUCGCGGCUUAUCAGCUUGUUGGUGGGGUAGUGGCUUACCAAGGCUUUGACGGGUAGCCGGCCUGAGAGGGUGACCGGCCGCUGUGUGGGGGGGGCCCGCCCCAGACGCCGGGGGGAGGCGGCGGUGGGGAAUAUGUGACAGGGGGGGGAGGCCGGAGGGGGCAGCGCGGGGGGGGGGAGGAGGGCCUCCGGUUGGAAAGCGGGUGUCGCCGGUGGAGAAGGGGGGGUGAAGGUAAUGGAUAAAGAACCACCGGUUAACUACGCGCCAGCGGCGGCGCUAAUAACAGGAAGACCACACAUCUGAUC
rnacentral:rRNA from 1 species